GACGGGUGACUAACGCGUGGGAACGUACCUUUUGGUUCGGAACAACACAGGGAAACUUGUGCUAAUACCGGAUAAGCCCUUACGGGGAAAGAUUUAUCGCCGAAAGAUCGGCCCGCGUCUGAUUAGCUAGUUGGUGAGGUAAUGGCUCACCAAGGCGACGAUCAGUAGCUGGUCUGAGAGGAUGAUCAGCCACAUUGGGACUGAGACACGGCCCAAACUCCUACGGGAGGCAGCAGUGGGGAAUAUUGGACAAUGGGCGCAAGCCUGAUCCAGCCAUGCCGCGUGAGUGAUGAAGGCCCUAGGGUUGUAAAGCUCUUUUGUGCGGGAAGAUAAUGACGGUACCGCAAGAAUAAGCCCCGGCUAACUUCGUGCCAGCAGCCGCGGUAAUACGAAGGGGGCUAGCGUUGCUCGGAAUCACUGGGCGUAAAGGGUGCGUAGGCGGGUCUUUAAGUCAGGGGUGAAAUCCUGGAGCUCAACUCCAGAACUGCCCUUGAUACUGAGGAUCUUGAGUUCGGGAGAGGUGAGUGGAACUGCGAGUGUANAGGUGAAAUUCGUAGAUAUUCGCAAGAACACCAGUGGCGAAGGCGGCUCACUGGCCCGAUACUGACGCUGAGGCACGAAAGCGUGGGGAGC
rnacentral:rRNA from 1 species